GGCUGUCAAUAGACAUAGAUGGUCUUCAGCUGAUCCUUCAGUUCGGGAGGAAUGGCACAGGUAUCUGACUCGGCUUUUCGUUUCACCAACCGACGCCAGCGUCCACCGAGGUUCUUACGGAAGCCCUUCGCGAAUCCAGGCCUAUGCGACGGCAAGGCGUGUACAAGAGUAUCCUAUAAAGAAAGAAGAUCAAAUUGCGGCGAUUCUAAUCCUGCUGAUAUCGCAAAGGAACAAUUUUUUUCAAGAAGUGAAUGCCUCAACAGCUGCAGCCUAUUCGGUUCUCGGCGAUAUGUAGACGCCCACCGACGACGCUAAAUUUAGCGUCAGGUCGGAGAAGCGUCAAGAGCUGCGCCCGUUUUACCGGUGUAUUUAUAGAUUGUAAAUAAGGACAUUAAAAUCGGAGCGUGCAUAAGGAAGAUCCGAAGACUCAUUAUCGCGUGACUUUCUCAAGAAAAUUGACCCUUGUAGAACUUUGGCCGCAACUGCGUUCACCGCUUUCUACGCUUACGAAUCUUUUUUGGAUAUCUCCGGUCGACAUCGCAUGUCCUCGAGUCAUUGGACAGCAGGGACAAACCAGUAAAAUCUGGUAAUACUGGCUCCACCGUGAAAACCUAUUGCUUUGGGUCUCUCGCAUCGGAAAUGGGAAUUGAGAACCCCGUGAGAAAAGCGCAGGUACAAAAUACAAGAUAUAUACAAGGUGCACCAACCUGAUCGUUGUACAACGUGUACUGCGCCGAUGGCACGUGGGGUGGUGGAUACGGAGGCGGGAACUGCCACGCGAACGGCUCG
rnacentral:lncRNA from 1 species